CUCUCCCUCUCUUCCUCCGCUACGAACAGACCCAAAUGGCUACCUACCCCAUCGCCCUCUUUCCCACUCCGUCUCCUGCGACGCCAUCACCCUCUCUCCCACUCCGUCUCCCCCGAUCCCAUCGCCCUCUCUCCCACUCCGUCUCCCCCGACUCAUCCUUUUCUAGGGUUUCCUCUUCUCAACCCUUUUCUAGGGUUUCUGAUACAUCCGCAUCCUCUCGACCUCGCACGCGAUCACCGCAUUGGGAGGGAUCGUUCGUCGACCUUCGUGAUCCUUCUUUGCUACUUUUUUGUCGUUUCUGGAUUUGCAGUUUCCAUAUGGGCAGCUCACAUAUAUGGCUGGUGAGGGGUUGACUAGUAGUGCAUUUCUUCCUCUCUUUGGUGGGUUGCUUCAAGCUCAAGGCCGAUAUCUGAGAGAAACAAGAAUAAGCUUUUCUUGCAAGAAUAAGCGAGGUACUCGAAUAACCCCAAUGCUGCGGUUGCCCGAAAAAUCUUUUUCCCUUGGGAUUACAUGAGCCAUAGCUUGGUAGAGAUCCGGCGUCAUGGUUCGACCCAGUGUCCAACUCAGGUCAAUUAUUUGCCUCUUCCAAAAAAUUUCGGGUUUCUUCUUUUAAAUUGUUUCCAUGCUAUUCAUUCAUGGACUAAAUAUAAUGAACUAUAUUGCAUUUUGAAAUUUUUUAUCUAAACUUAAAUAAUGUAGUAUAUUAAAUAAUGUAGCUUUUGUUUUUGUGUGGAGUUGAGAUUUUUUUAAUUUCUCUUGAGUUUGAUACUAUGUUAAAAAACACAUGCCAAGUUGGAGAGCUUAAUCGAAUCACUUGGUAAUCACAUGAUACUAUUGUCUGUUUACAAUAGGCUUUGUAUUAGCUCUUAUUGAUGGAAAAACAUAAGAAGAGUUAAUCGAAUCACUUGGUUGAGUUUAUGUCAUCAAUUUAAACAACAAAGGCAUACGGACCUAACUGAAACUUGGACCACAAUUCAGGAAUUUUCUAUAUAAUUUAUCCUGCAGAAUAUAUUUAGAAAUAUACGACGAACUACAUGUAAACAGAUUAAAGCCAAACUUACUGGGAAAAAAUGGAGUUGGAAUUUGAUUUGCUUGAGGAGGAUUGAGGUGAGAUGUAACUGUGGUGCUGCUGCAUCAUUUCCCAUUGCACUUGACAUGUUUUCGUUGGCCAUUUAUUUCUCCUACUAUCAUUACUCUUGUAGAAAUUAAAUGUUUUCUUUUAGAUAAAGGAAGUGGUGCCCAAAAUAACCGUUGAGGCGGCAAAAAGGUGAAAACUACGGUAACUUUCGCUUUCAGUAUUGAACUACAGUGCACUUUAAGUUAUCUGAAUCUUACACUUUUUAAUUUGUUACUUAGUUUCAUAAUGUUUCUGAGCUAGAUAGUGAACUAUGGUUGUGUAGGUUUGCUUUUAUUGCCUGCCUUGUUUAGCUUUUGAUUUUGCACUUCGAAGUCGUAGACAACUUUGGUAAAGAGUUUGACUUAAAGAAAGGACUAGGACUGUAGAUGCAACUGGAAAGUAAAAUAGCUUCUAAGCUCAAAUGCAUGGGCCAACACUGUAGAGAGAAUUCAAAGAUAUAGGAAAGAGAUUAUUAUUAUUGUUUUUAAAGAGACAGAAAAGUAGUAUGCUUUUCACUUCAAUUAUUUUUUUUUAAAAUACAUUUACUAGAAAAUAUAAAAUAACUAAAAUUUGAAUUUGAAAGCUCGGGUAACAGCUCUCAAACUCUUUUUCACCAGCGCUAGGGACGGCAGGUAUAUUAGGGAGAUUUUAAUAAAGUAACUGUUUUAUUCAGCCAUAACAACUUUGGUCGAAGAAUAUUUUCUUAAAAGCUUCGAUCAGAUCAGGGCGCUAGAGCCCCUGAUUCACUAGAAAAAUGAAAUGAUCUCCAACACUUAGAUAUAUCCAACCACUCGGGAGGAACUUAGUUAAUCACGAUUAUACACAGGUUUUUUGUCCUAUUUUCUUUUUCUAUAAUCUUAUUAGUCCAGAAUUAGCCUUUUUUUUACAACAUAUUGAUUAAUAACUUGCGAAAAAUAUAAAUUAGAUAAUAAUAAUAAUAAUAUGAAUAAGAUUUAUUUAUAAUUUUCUAUCAAGUCCAGUGAAGCCAACCCAAAAAAGGAUCUAGCAGUUGAUGGCAGUUAAGAAGCACAUACAACCAAGAAGGAUAAAAAAAUAAGAUAAAAUAAAAGAAAGGAGUAGGUUAGACCUUUUUGUUGCACAUGGGGUAAGGGACAAAUUAGUGAGCUUUAAGAUGCAAUUUUCAUUUUUGCAGGUGAGAUUUAAGAUAUUAUAAAAAGCUUAGUAGCAGCAAUUUGCUAUUAGAUAUGGUUAUAGAUAGAGAUAUGCACACUUUGUAGCUGUCUGAAAAGUUGAGUUAUAUAUUUGCUGUAAUGUAAAUGAAUUGCACAGGUUCCACUUUUUUGAGCAACUGCUCUAGUGUAAUUAUCGUACUUUUCCCAGCUAGUUCAACUAUUAAAUGAUUUUUAUGCAAUAAUAAAUAUUGUGUCCGACUUUGUUUGGCAGCAAUGUUGCAACUUCUUAUUGUUUCUACUUGGAACAUUUUCCUGCUUUUCCAUUUCGAUGCGGUUGACAAUUUUGAUAUUUGCUUUACACUUUUGGUGGAGUUAUGCAUUUGGACUGUGAAAACCAUGUGCUGGGGUAAAACUGUAUAAAAGGUGCUUAUGCAUCUUAUAGGUCUAUACGCGUGCUUCAUAGUGCUUGUAAGUAAGUAAUAAUACCACAAAGUUGCUAUACUUUUAAAAGCUUCGAGAAUGGAAAUAACUUUUAUGAUCUUUAGUCAUGAUAUCCAAAUCAAUUGAUAGCUACGUGCUUCUAUCUUUGUGUGAUUGUUUCAUAAAGAAGAUAUUAUGAAAAAGCUUAUAUCUAUAAGUGAUUGUGGCCAUCAGAGAGUAUUAAGAGCUUUUUUGAACAUCUAUACUACUGAUCUAAUAAUGACUAAUGCUUCAAUUCUCAUUCUAUAGGUUAGCAUGGAAAGUAAUGGCAAGGGUGUCUUUAUUGAUGGAAUUCCACUUCCAUUUGAGACUGGUGAAAUAGAUUUUGGAGAACCUGGAACAAAUGGUCAACACAGCUUCUACCAAUUAAUCCAUCAGGGAAGGGUUAUCCCUUGCGAUUUUAUCGGUGUUGUAAAAAGUCAGCAGCCUGUUUACUUGAAAGGGGAAAUUGUUAGUAACCAUGAUGAGCUCAUGUGAAACUUUUUUGCUCAGCCAGAUGCACUUGCUUAUGGAAAGACUCCAGAACAAUUACUAAGAGAGAAUGUCCCCAAUCAUCUAAUUCCUCACAGGACCUUCUCUGGCAACAGGCCGUCCCUGAGCUUAUUACUCCCUUCAUUAAAUGCUUAUAAUGUUGGACAGCUAUUGGCCGUCUACGAGCACAGAAUUGCAGUUGAGGGUUUCAUAUGUGGGGGAUCAACUCUUUCGACCAAUGGGGUAAGUUAGGCAAGUUGUUUCUCGCUAGCCACUCAAGGAAACAACUGAACCUAUCUCGAACUCAAUAGAAGCCCGUUCAAGAGUUUAACCACAGUACUACCACUUUGUUGACAAAAUACCUUGAGGUAUGAACUGCAACGGAAGAAGUACAAAAGUUAAGAGAGGACGUGCAAGAGAAUAAAAAAUUGGUUUUCCAACUACAGUCACAAUUAGUUGCCGUUAUGUAAUGUAUAAGAUAAAAAAUACCGGAUUGUAACCUUGGUGGCAGUCGUCAGGAUCCUGAGUCUUCAGGCACUUGCUAUACAUCAGCAUCAUCAAAUCCUUCCAGUAAUACUUGAUCAUUUCUUUGUAUUAGGACCUACUAUGCUCUUUAGCAUCAUUUUAUGUUUUGAGCUACUGUGUCAUUUCUAAAAACUGUUUUUGGAUAUUAUAGUUUUUUAUCAUUUUAUUGAUGUUGAGGAUGUGAGGAACAAUUAGUAUUUUGGUUUUAUUCGAUACUCUUUGCUUAUAUAUGAAUGAAACAACUUUGUUGCUAUGAA